AAUUUCUUUUGCGGAGAUGCAUGUAAAUAUUCUAUUGAAUUCACUUACAUCUAGUGAACAGUAAAGUACAUUUAUUGCUUUUGCAUUUAGUUGUGCUAGUCUUCUAUCACUCUCAUUCCAAUCCAUUUCUGGUUUGGGAAUGAUUGUCCCCUCUAUACUAAUUGUGGAUGUGUGUGGUCCUCUAGUUAUGAUAUUCCACAAUUCAUAGUCUAGAGCUUGAAUGAAUAUCCUCAUCCUAGCUUUCCAGUAUGUGUAAUUUGAGCCAUUAAACAGAGGAGGUCUAUUUGUGGAUUGCCCCUCACUCAUAGAACAUCCUACUUGCGUUGUCAUGAUCUUUGUCUCUUGAUUGUGAAAUCAACAAAUACUAUGUGAGCACCUGGCUCUGAUACCACUUGUUGCCCAAGGUGACAAGCCAAGAGGGGGGGUGAAUUGGUUUCUCUAAAUUUUUUACGAUCUUAAUUGAGUCAAUUGAUGAGUUAGUGAAGUUAAAACAAUACACAAUGCAAACACACAAGAAGUAUAAUGGUUCGGUGCUCUUCUAAGCACCUACGUCCACUCUCCAAGCGACCCCUUGGGAAUUCACUAUAAUUUCGCGAAUUACAGUUGGAUUGUUUUCCGGGCUCACAAUCCAAAAACAUUUACAUUUUGGUUUUCCGGGAUCACCAAAAACCUAUGUUGGUUUUACGGGCUCACCAACGAACCUUCACAAUUGGUUUUACGGGUUCACCAAUAAACUACACCGUUGGUUUUACGGGCUCACCA
rnacentral:lncRNA from 1 species